rnacentral:rRNA from 1 species
CCUACGGGCGGCAGCAGUGAGGAAUAUUGGUCAAUGGACGAGAGUCUGAACCAGCCAAGUAGCGUGAAGGAUGACUGCCCUAUGGGUUGUAAACUUCUUUUAUAUGGGAAUAAAACGUUCCACGUGUGGGAUUUUGUAUGUACCAUAUGAAUAAGGAUCGGCUAACUCCGUGCCAGCAGCCGCGGUAAUACGGAGGAUCCGAGCGUUAUCCGGAUUUAUUGGGUGUAAAGGGAGCGUAGGUGGAUUGUUAAGUCAGUUGUGAAAGUUUGCGGCUCAACCGUAAAAUUGCAGUUGAAACUGGCAGUCUUGAGUACAGUAGAGGUGGGCGGAAUUCGUGGUGUAGCGGUGAAAUGCUUAGAUAUCACGAAGAACUCCGAUUGCGAAGGCAGUUCACUGGACUGCAACUGACACUGAGGCUCGAAAGUGUGGGUAUCAAACAGGAUUAGAUACCCUAGUAGUC